rnacentral:rRNA from 1 species
AACGAACGCUGGCGGCAUGCCUAACACAUGCAAGUCGAACGAACCCUUCGGGGUGAGUGGCGCACGGGUGCGUAACGCGUGGGAACCUGCCCUUAGGUUCGGAAUAACAGUGAGAAAUCGCUGCUAAUACCGGAUAAUGUCUUCGGACCAAAGAUUUAUCGCCUUUGGAUGGGCCCGCGUUGGAUUAGCUAGUUGGUGGGGUAAAGGCUCACCAAGGCGACGAUCCAUAGCUGGUCUUAGAGGAUGAUCAGCCACACUGGGACUGAGACACGGCCCAGACUCCUACGGGAGGCAGCAGUGGGGAAUAUUGGACAAUGGGCGAAAGCCUGAUCCAGCAAUGCCGCGUGAGUGAUGAAGGCCUUAGGGUUGUAAAGCUCUUUUACCAGGGAUGAUAAUGACAGUACCUGGAGAAUAAGCUCCGGCUAACUCCGUGCCAGCAGCCGCG